CCCAGAUGGCAUGGUUUUGAUAGGUGAAUGUGACCUCUCGGAGUGAGCAAUUAGCGUGAGCCGCCCUUGCAAUUUCUGGAGGACCCAUCUAACAGGGUGGGAAGUACCGUGCUUGAGACAGCUCAAGGUGGAAAGAGGAACUAGAACUUAGAGGUUUUCAAGCUGUUGGAAGUUGAACGGACUGAUUCAGACUUCUCCUACCCUUUCUUUCCACCUUGGAUGAAAGUGGCCACUGGGCUGAGGAGUUUUUGAGCA